GUGCACCAGGCGCGAAAGUGUGACGGGGCCAUCCCGAGUGCCGUCCGCUGAGGACGGCUUCUCCCCAGUGUACACAGCUGGGGGAAUAAGGAGAGGGCAAGCCUGGUGUCAGCCGCCGCGGUAAUACCAGCUCUCCGAGUGGUGGGGACGCUUAUUGGGCCUAAAGCAUCCGUAGCCGGCCGGGCAAGUCCUCCGUUAAAUCCAACGAUUCAAUCGUUGGGCUGUGGGGGAUACUGUCCAGCUUGGGGGCGGAGAGGCCGACGGUAUUCCCGGGGUAGGGGUGAAAUCCUAUAAUCCCGGGAGGACCACCAGUGGCGAAGGCUGUCGGCUAGAACGCGCCCGACGGUGAGGGAUGAAAGCUGGGGGAGCGAACCGGAUUAGAUACCCGGGUAGU
rnacentral:rRNA from 1 species